rnacentral:rRNA from 1 species
UACGGAGGGUGCAAGCGUUAUCCGGAUUCACUGGGUUUAAAGGGUGCGUAGGCGGACAGGUAAGUCAGUGGUGAAAUCUCUGGGCUUAACCCAGAAACUGCCGUUGAUACUAUUUGUCUUGAAUAUCCUGGAGGUAGGCGGAAUAUGUCAUGUAGCGGUGAAAUGCUUAGAUAUGACAUAGAACACCGAUAGCGAAGGCAGCUUACUACAGGAUGAUUGACGCUGAGGCACGAAAGCAUGGGGAGCGAACAGG